GUGUGUGUGUGUGUGGUGUGUGGUGUGUGGUGUGUGUGUGUGUGUGUGUGGUGUGUGUGUGUGGAUUUUCCUUUUUGGUUUGUCUCUGCAUGAACUCAACAGAUUCUUCCAAAACAACAACGAUACUGUUUUCCACAUUGCUUCUAAAUAUGAAAACACCUGUCCACACAUCUCUAUUAUAAUAUAAAUAUAAGAACAAAAUGUUUGGCCAGUAUGGCCCUAACAACCUGGUAACUUUAAUAUUAUUCAAACAUUUGGUGACACAGAAAGAAAGGGAACAUUACAGAAAGAAAGGAGAUAUUACUGCACUGUUGGAGCUGGAACACAAGCAUUUCACUACUCUCUCACAUACAUCUGAUAAAUGUGUACGUGACCAAUACAAUGUAGUUUGAUUUGAUUUGUAAAGGAUAUCAUAAAGACCCAAUGUAGGCUACAUCUCAAUCAAUAGAAAAAUGUUUUGCAAAUCUAUUGAAAAUUAAAUACAGAAAUCAAAUUUGCAUAAGUAUUCACACCCCUGAGUCUAUACUUGUAGAAGCACCUUUGGCAGCGAUUACAGAUUUGCUUUGUCUUGGGUUUGUUUGUAUCAGCUUUGCACAUCUGGAUUUGUUUUUUUUUCUCCCAUUCUUCCUUUUCUCACGCUCUGUUAAAUAAGAUGGGGAGAGGUGAAAAACAGCAAUCUUCAAGUCCUUCAAUCCACAGAUUUUCAAUGGGUUCAAGUCUGGGCUUUGGCUGGGCCACUCAAGGACUUUCACAUUCUUGUUCUGAAGUCAUUCCAGUAUUGCUUUGGCUGUAUGUUUGGGGUCAUUGUUCUGUUGGAACGUAAGUCUUUGCCUCAGUCUAAAGUUGUUUGCACUCUGAAGCAGGUCAUCAUCAAGGAUUUGCCUGUAUUUGGAUCCAUUCAUUGUUCCUCUGUCCUUGCCAGUCUCCCAGUCCAUUCCGCUUAAAAGUAUCCCCAUAGCAUGAUGCUGCCACCACGCUUCACUGUAGGGAUGGUGUUAGACGGGUGAUGAGCUGUGCCUGGUUUUCUCAACAUGGUCUCAGAGCAGUUCGUAUUAUUUUGUGCGUAUAUAAUCCAAAACACUCCAUUUACUGUGAUAUGUUACGUUUCGUAUGGUAUCUUAUUUUGUGGAUGUCCAUUAUCCAUUUUGUAUGAUAUGUUAUGAAUUACAAUUCAUAAUACAAUUCCUACGAUAUGUUUUGAAUUUGUUGAAUGUAUAACAUGUCACAAAUUACAAUUUGUUGUUGCUAACAGCUAGGUGGCUAACGCUAACUAGCUCUAGGGGUUAAGGUUUGGGGAAGG
ensembl:lncRNA